rnacentral:rRNA from 1 species
AUAUUGCAAAAUGGGCGAAAGCCCGAUGCAGCAACGCCGCGUGGGCGAUGAAGGCCUUCGGGUCGUAAAGCCCUUUUUGAGGGGAUGAGGAAGGACAGUACCCUCAGAAUAAGCCUCGGCUAACUACGUGCCAGCAGCCGCGGUAAAACGUAGGAGGCGAGCGUUAUCCGGAUUUACUGGGCGUAAAGCGCGUGCAGGCGGAUUGGAGAGUUGGAUGUGAAAGCUCCCGGCUUAACUAGGAGAGGUCGUUCAAUACUUCCAGUCUUGAGUGCAGUAGAGGGAAGUGGAAUUCCGUGUGUAAUGGUGAAAUGCGUAGAUAUCCGGAGGAACACCAGUGGCAAAAGCGGCUUCAUGGACUGUAACUGACGCUCAGACGCGAAAGCUAGGGUAGCAAACG